rnacentral:tRNA from 1 species
GCCACGGUGGUCUAGCGGUCAGAACGCUAGCCUUGUAAUCUUGGGUUCCCGGGUUCAAUUCCCGGUGGUGCUC